UACGUAGGGCGCAAGCGUUGCUCGGAAUGACUGGGCGUAAAGGGCGCGUAGGCGGAUGGCACAGUCAGAUGUGAAAUUCCCGGGCUUAACCUGGGGGCUGCAUUUGAUACGUGUUGUCUAGAGUGAGGAAGAGGGUUGUGGAAUUCCCAGUGUAGAGGUGAAAUUCGUAGAUAUUGGGAAGAACACCGGUGGCGAAGGCGGCAACCUGGUCCUUGACUGACGCUGAGGCGCGAAAGCGUGGGGAGCAAACAGG
rnacentral:rRNA from 1 species